GACGAACCGUGCGAACGUUGUUCGGAUUCACUGGGCUUAAAGGGCGCGUAGGCGGGCCGCGUAGUCGGUGGUGAAAUCUUUCGGCUCAACCGGAAAAUCGCCUCCGAUACUGGCGGCCUCGAGGGGGUAGGGGCAUGCGGAACUUCGGGUGGAGCGGUGAAAUGCGUAGAUAUCCGAAGGAACGCCGGUGGCGAAAGCGGCGUGCUGGACCCCUUCUGACGCUGAGGCGCGAAAGCCAGGGGAGCGAGCGGG
rnacentral:rRNA from 1 species